rnacentral:rRNA from 1 species
UACGAGGGGGGCGAGCGUUGUUCGGAAUUAUUGGGCGUAAAGGGUGCGUAGGCGGUUUGGUAAGUCUUAUGUGAAAUCUACAGGCUCAACUUGUAGUCUGCAUGAGAAACUGCCGGGCUUGAGUAUGGGAGAGGUGAGUGGAAUUCCUGGUGUAGCGGUGAAAUGCGUAGAUAUCAGGAGGAACACCUGUGGCGAAAGCGGCUCACUGGACCAUAACUGACGCUGAUGCUCGAAAGCUAGGGGAGCAAACAGG